rnacentral:rRNA from 1 species
AGAGACGGAAUUCCAGGUGUAGUGGUGAAAUACGUAGAUAUCUGGAAGAACACCAGUUGCGAAGGCGGUCUCUUAGUCCGUAACUGACGCUGAGGCGCGAAAGCGUGGGUAGCAAACAGGAUUAGAUACCCUGGUAGUCCACGCUGUAAACGAUGAAUACUAGGUGUUGGAUCGCAAGAUUCCAGUGCCGGAGCUAACGCAUUAAGUAUUCCACCUGGGGAGUACGAUCGCAAGGUUGAAACUCAAAGGAAUUGACGGGGGCCCGCACAAGCAGUGGAGCAUGUGGUUUAAUUCGAUGCAACGCGAAGAACCUUACCUAGGCUUGAAAGGCUAGCGACCGGGUAUGAAAGUACCCUUCCCUUCGGGGCGCUAGUACAGGUGCUGCAUGGCUGUCGUCAGCUCGUGCCGUGAGGUGUUGGGUUAAGUCCCGCAACGGGCGCAACCCCUACUAUUAGUUGCCAUCAGGUAAAGCUGAGCACUCUAAUAGGACUGCCUACGCAAGUAGUGAGGAAGGUGGGGAUGACGUCAAGCCCGCAUGGCCCUUACGCCUAGGGCCACACACGUGCUACAAUGGGUAACACAACGGGUUGCUAUACCGCAAGGUGGAGCUAAUCCCUUAAAGUUGCCCCCAGUUCGGAUUGGAGUCUGAAACUCGACUCCAUGAAGUUGGAAUUGCUAGUAAUCGCGGAUCAGCACGCCGCGGUGAAUACGUUCCCGGGCCUUGUACACACCGCCCGUCAAGCCAUGGAAGCCGGGGGUACCCAAAGCCAGUGUCCUAACCGCAAGGAGGGAGCUGU